GACUGGGCUUAAUAUUAAUUACUGGAUUGAAGAGCCCUAACGACCUGGGCUCCAGUGAAAUCAAAUCUAAACCUAACUACCUUCUUCUCCUCAAAUGUUUACGUGAAAUCACCGAAUUCUUCUGCCACCGUUUUAAGUAUUCUGCUUCAUCUCAAAAGCAGAAGAGGGGAGGAGAUAAAGUUUGUACGGAAGCAGAUAUCGCAUUUAGUCUUCCCCCAAUCUUUUCAUUUGUCUCACUAUCCCUGUGAUCAUCCUGCUCAGUUUUGCAACGGUACAGUAGCCUAACAACAUGAACUGCUUUGUAUUUCAUGGCGAACCUGCAGUGUAAGUACAACCUUCCCCAGAAGGAAAGGAAAACCCUAAUGGGAGAGCUUUUAGAACAGGGUAUAAGGGAGAAUACAUUAGUUGUCUAGGCGGACAAUCAGUUCAAAAGAAAAACUCACC